UUUUUUUUUUAGAUUUAUUUAUUUAUGCAUACAAGAGCUGGGGUACAGGCCAGAGGUGCCGGAGGUGAGAGGAUUCACCAGAGACAGAGUCGGGAACAGAACAGGCAGACUGACGAAAUACACUGCUGAGGGGAGCAGCGGGCAAGACAGGAGAGGUCUGCUGCGCCAUGUGGGUAGCUCCCUGUCCGGGGAUCGAACUCGUGCUGCAGAGGCUGCGGACAGCUCCAAAGGUUGCGUCUUAACUCGUUGCGCCACCAGGGAGGCCCUGACCAGGGUUUUUGAUGCGGCAGGUAGUCGGAGGGAGGACCCGUGGCUCCAUCAGCUGGAAGGGCAGAUGAUCCAUCACAGUAAAGGGCAGGGCUAUGUGACUUUUGAGGAUGCGACCAUUUACUUCUCCCAGGAGGAGUGGGGAAUCCUUGAGGAGGCUCAGCGACUCCGGUACAGCAAUGUGAUGCUGGAGAACUUCGCGCUCACAGCCUUGCUGGCUCCCACAUCGUUGCCCAGCUGGAGAUGGGGGCAGGACCCCAGGUGCCUGACGGAGUGGACAUGCCUUCGGCCAUGGCAAGAGGGGCAUAUAGUGGACCUGGCUCUGAUUUUUGCGAUGGAACCGACUCACCUUAUGAACACAGAGUUUCUGUGGAAAGGCUGUCACAGAACAGGAAUCCCAAGACUGCUCUGUCUACCCAGAAAGAUAUGUGUGGCCUACACUUGAAAGACAUUUUGCACCUGGAUGAACACCAGGAAACACAUUCCAGGCAGAAACCCCACAUGCGUGAGGCUCAUGGGAGAGGGCUGGAGUCGAGCACAAACCUUCACCUGCAACAGAUGCAGCAGAAUGUAGACACGCCAAUAAGAAGGGAGUAGGGCAGGACCUCGCUGGUGAAGAUGUGCAGGGACAGCACAUCAGAGAAGCCUUUCACAAUCAAGGAGGGUGGGGAAAACUUUGUGGCCUAAGCCAGCUUUCUCCAGCCUCAGAUCUCUUCCAGCACAGAGGAGCCAAACCCAAGUAUGGAAGGCAUGGUGCAUUCUCACACUGUGCAAAGCCGUAACAAGUGCAAUGAAUCAGAGGGUGCUUUCAGUGAGAAACCCACCCUUGUUCAGCACCAGAAUACUCCCACUGGAGAAAGACCUUAUGAGUGUAGCAAAUGUGGGAUAUUCUUUAGCCAUGCUGCUGGCCUCUCUCAACACCAGAGAAUUCACAACAGAGGGAAGCCUUAUGAGUGGGGUGAAUGUGGGAAGUUCUUUAGCCGAAGCUCCAACCUCAUUCAGCAUAAGUGGGUUCACACUAGUGAAAAACCUUAUGAGUGUAGCGGAUGUGGGAAACUCUUCAGCCAAUGAUCCAACCUUAUUCAUCAUAAGAGGGUUCACACUGGUAAAAGUGUGCAUGAGUGCAGCGACGGUGGGAAAUCCUUCAGCUGCAACUCCAGCCUAAUUACACAUUGGAGAGUUCACACUGGAGCAAGACCUUAUAAGUGCAACGAAUGUGAGAAAUCCUUUAGAUACACUGCCAACUUCAUUCAGCAUCAGAUAGUUCACACCGGUGAACGGCCUUAUGGGUGCAGCGAAUGUGGGAAAGCCUUCAGCCGAAGCUCCAACCUCAUGAAACAUCAGCGGGUCCACAGUGGUGAACAGCCUUAUGAGUGAAUAUAAGGUUAGCCAAAGUUCCAGCCUCAACAGCCACUGAAGACUCCAUACUGGUGAGCGACCUUAUCAGCGCUUGGAAUGUGGGAAAUUCUUUAACUGAAGCUUCAGCCUCAAUAACCAUUGGAGACUUCACACCAGUGAACAAUCUUAUAAAUGCACUUAGUGUGGGAAAACUUUCAGAUAGAGGCCUCACCUGAGGCAGCACCAGAAAGUGCACAAACCAGGUAGGCCAUAUAUAUGCAGUGAAUGUGGAAAAGCUUUCAGUCAAAGGCCUAGCCUCAUCCGGCAUCAGGAAAUUCACACUAGAGAAAGGAACAAGGAGGAGGGGCUUCCUCCUUCAGCUCAGCAAGCCACACCAGAGAUAAGCUCUGAGAGUAGUCGUUAUGAGGGAGUCCUCAACCAGAAAUUGAACAUUGUUCAUACAAAUAUUCACACUAGGGAGAUUUCCUAUGAAUGUUAGAUAUGUUGGGAACUUUGUGGACCUACAUUGCAUUUUUUUUGACUAUGGAAUUUACCAGUUUUGAUACUGAUAGAGUCAUCUCAGCUCUAUCCAUCUCAGCUCUAUCUGGCAGGUCUCCAGAGAAUAUGCCAGCCACUCUGUGUGCUUAGGGAUGGCGGACAUCUUUCCUUCCAAGAGGGAGUCAUGAGUAGUCUGAGGCCAUAGGAAGAUGCCAUUCCCACCCCUGUGACUGGUUUAGCUGUGGGCAUACUCAUCUUUGGUCACAAAGACCUCAGCUGCGUUCUACUGGCAGCUUGCCAAGUUUCUCCUUUUCAAGGACACCCUUGAGCUCAUGUGGUGCUUAUGAUGGAUUUAUUCAGCUUCCACGUUACCCAUCCCAACAGCUACCUACUUAACAUCACUCUGGUGUGGGUGAUAACAGGGCCUAUUGAUAAAGAUACCUUCAGUCUCCUGUGUUAUAACCAUUGUGUGAAGUGGGUUGAAAACAGAACUAAGAUCUGUCAAACCAAAGGGUCCCCAAUUUUACUUCCACAGAGAGAACAGCAAGAUAGCAGGGAACAUCUGGUCUCAUUUGUAUUGCUCCUCAAAGCCUUCUAGGAAGGACCAUAGGGUUUUGUGUUCUGAAUAACAUGAAUUUUUAUGACCAGAGAUCACUCUUAGGAAGGGGCAGUUCUAACAGCCUUCUAUACAGCUAGGAGCAAUAGGAAUUGUGUCCCUUAUUUCCUUACCAUGGAGCAGACACUUUUUAUUUGGCAUAGGCAAAGGAAUCACAAGUCUUAAAGGCUAACAGCCGGUAUACAAGUGUCUCAACUGCAAGACUUACUAGGCUCAGGUGGGAGCAAAAAAUUCAGAACACUGGGGGAUAUUAAUAGGGAGUGGGUGAGACAGCAACAACUAGAGGGGAUGUAAUUAUUCUAAAACUAUAUCCACAAAUGUGACCCUGAAUAUGACUACAGGAUUCAGACUUAGAAAUUUUCAGAACCUCCAGACCUAUCCUAUGACUAAGGUUUCUGGUGGGGCAAAUCAUCUCAGGGCUCUGGAUUUCUGCAGGCUCUCUGCUCUAUUUUUUUUUUAAUUUAUUUAUGCAUACAAGAACUGGGGUGUAAGACAGAGGUGUGGGGGGUGGUGAGAGGAUUCACCAAAGAGAGUGGGGAGCAGAACAGGCAGAUCUACUGAAAUACACCACUGAGGGGAGCAGUGGGCAAGACAGGAGAGGUCUGCUGUACCAUGUGGGAGUCCCUGGCUGGCCAGGGACCAAACUGGUACUGCAGUGGCUGACGAUGGCUUGAUAGUGUUGUCCUUAACCCCUGGGCCACCAGGGAGGCCCUCUGCUCUUCUCAAGGCCAUUCCUGAGCAGGCAGGAAAAGAACUGAGAACAGUAAAUCUUGUAUUGCAUGGAAAUAGCAUUUGUGACAUGGACAGUCACUUUUGCUACCAAGGCAUGAGAGAGAUGGAGUAAAUGUAGGAUUGCCAAAUCUUCCAAUUUUCAAAAACGAGUGGGAGAUCAGAUUUUGUAUAUAAUUUCUAAUGCUGUUUUGAAAUACAAUUGUCGUGCAAUCAUUGUAUGUAUUUGAUACAUACAAUAUGAUACAUUUAAAACAUACAUACUCAGGGAGCCAACAAUGUAAUUAUGAUAAUGACCCUAUCCAUCACCCAUAGAGCUACCUCAUAGCCCUUUAUUAUCACUCCAUGCCUUGGCCAAGAAACCAUUAGUUAUACCCGAAGGAAGGAUGUAUUUGUCAUUCCUAGAAUUUUAUACAAUUGGAAUCAUAAAAUAUUUAUACUCUAGUUUGGUCUCUCUCAUACAGCAUAAUUACCUCAAGAAUCAUCCAUACUGUGUGUAUGAAUGGUUAAUUCCUUUUACUACUGAGUAGUGCUCUAUUCAGUGAAUCUACCACAAAGUUUUUAAGCUAUUUUUUUAUAUGAGACAAUUUGGUAAAAUACAUACAAUGCAAAACUUACCAUCUUAACCAUCUUUAAAUGGUGUUAAGUACAUAUUGCAACCAUCGCUACCAUUCAUCUCCAGAAUAAAACUCUAUACCCAUAAACAAUAACUCCCAACUCCCUCUUCCCCCAAGCUCCUGGAAACUAUCAUUCUAUUUUCCUUCUUUGAAUCUGACCACUCUGGGUACCUCAUAGAAAUGGAAUCAUACACUAUUUCUUCUUAUAACUAACUGCUUUAGCAUAAUGUCCUCAAAAUCCAUCCAUGUUGUAGCAUGUGUCUGAAUUUCCUUCCUUUUUAGAGUUGUAUAAUAUUCCAUUGUACAUAUAUGCUACAUUUUGCUUAUUCAUCUGUCCACAGAUACUUGUGUUGCUUUCAUCUUUUGGCUAUUGUGAAAUAAUGUCUCUUUGAAAUUCUGGUUUUCAUUCUUUUGGGCAUAUACUCAGGAAUGGACUUACUGGGUCAUAUGGUAACUGUAUUUUUACUUUUUGAGGACUUGCCACACUGUUUUUCAGGGUGAUUGUACCAUUUUACUCCCACAAACAGUAUACAAAGUUUCUAGUAUUUCCACAUCCUAACUUGCCUUUUCUUUUUCCUUCCAUAGCAUCUAUCUUAUGUGUGUGGUAUUUCACUGUAGUGUGGAUUUGCAUUUCCCUAAUGAUUGUGAUAUUGACCAUCUUAUAUACCUUCUUUAGAGAAAUUUUUCUUCAAGUCCUUUUUGCAUUUGUUUCUUUUUUUAAAAUUUUUUAAAAGAUUUAUUUAUAUAAGAACCAGGGUACAGGCCAGCUGCACGGGAGGGUGAGAGGAUUCACCAGAGACAGAGCAGGGAAAAGAACAGGCAGACUGAAGAAAUACACUGCUGAGGGGAGCAGUGGGCGCAGCAGGAGAGGUCUGCCAUGCCAUGUGGGACCCUCUCCAGCUGGCCGGGAUUGAACCGGCGCUGCAGAAGCUGCGGACAGCUUCACAGCGCGGCGCUCAACCGCCUGCGCCACCAGGAGAGGCCCCCUUUUUGCAUUUUUGAAUUGGGUUUUUGUUAUCAAAUUUAGGAUACUAUUCCCUUAUCAGAUAUGUAAUUUGCAUAUACUUUCUCCUACUCUAUGGGUUGCCCAUUUUAUCCUACUUAUAGUGCCCUUGGUACACAAAGGUUAAUUUUCAUGCUGUCCUGCUGCACCUCCCCCUGCAGUGACCUUUAAGGGCUAACAGUCCCUAGGUCCGGCUGGGCAACCAGCACGCAGGGGGAGAACAGCAACCAGCACGCAGGGGGAGAACACCCUGAAGCAGAGGAAGUUCAGCGGAAGUUCCCUGAAAAGGCAGAAGCUUAUCAAAAGAUAACGACCACCAAGAACCACUACAAGAAUGCUAAAAAUCUUAUCCCCGUCUUUCUAGAACUACAAACUUUAAUCUCUUAUCUGUCUUUCUAAACUUCCUCCUUUCUUCUAUAAUGGUCAUUGUUUGUUAUGUAGAUCACCUCCCUGAUGGUGAUAGGCUGAGCCCAUGAGCAAGCUGAUUUCAUUGAUAUUCAAUGUUCCUGUGCUUUUGGAAAACAUAUAUAUACUGGUCACAAACUCAAAGAAAAUUACACUCAGAUUUUCACUCUUGAAGUGUGUCUGUUUGUCAUUUCUUUCACCGACGCCCUGACCACCCUGCACGCUUCUCUCAACCCUGAGGUGGCCUCAUCGUCUACUGCUGUGCUGGUCCACGGCACUGUCCAGUUUGCCUUAUUUUCUUUUGUCCAUGCCUUUGGUGCCAUAUCUGAGAAAUCAUUGCCAAAUCCAAUGGCUUGGAGCUUGUGCUCUGGUUUCUUCUAAGUUUUAUAGAUCUAGGUCUUACAUUUAGGUCCUUGAAGCAUUUUGAGUUUAUUUUUUAUAUGGUGUUAGGUAAGGGUCCAACUUCAUUCUUUUCCAUGUGGAUAUCCUGCUUUCCCAACACCAACACCAUAAGUUGAGAAAGCUGUUCUUCCCCUCAUUGAUUGUCCUUAGCACCCUUUUAGAAAAUCAUUUGGCUGUAUAUAUAGGAUUUAUUUCCGGGCUCCUAUUCUAUCCCAUUAGUCCACAUGUCUGCCUUUAUGCCAGCACCAUACUUAUUUCAUUAAUGUAGCUUGAGACUAAGUUUUUUAAUCAGGAAGUGUAAGUCCUCCAAAAUUUAUCUUUUUCACAAUUGUUUUAGCUCUUUGGGGUCCCUUGAGACUCCAUAUAAAUUUUGGGGUUGAUUUUUCU